AGACUGAAUCGGGCUAUCAAUCUUACCCAUACAGCGUGAUGUGGGUACUGAGCACAUAUUCUGUAAAUUCUACGUAUUUUCAUUUUCCUUCAUUAUCGACGUUCAUUCUGUAUAUUUUAUUAUCUAAGCAUGGCUUGAUCUCAAGUAUAUGGUUUGUGCAUAAUACUAAUGAAAUCUCUACUCAUAAGGUUCCUUUCAAUAUUGUUCGAAGAUGUUGCACAUGGUUUUUGAGUAGCCUGCAUUAAUAUGUUAUGACAGCACUUGCUUUGCUG
rnacentral:lncRNA from 1 species